GUCCCCGUCGUCUAGCCGGCCUAGGACACCGCCCUUUCACGGCGAUAACACGGGUUCAAAUCCCGUCGGGGACGCCA
rnacentral:tRNA from 1 species